rnacentral:sRNA from 1 species
CCCUAGCCCUGACCGCAGUGGAACUCCUUAUGCAAGGGCCUUGUAUUUUUUUCUUUGGGCAAAAGAGCGACCGGAGGAAGCUCCUUUUUGGCCGUAGAAAAAAACAAGGGCAUCAAUAAGAGUGGAGCGUAGGGCAGGAUAAAGC